UGGCACUGAGACACGGGCCAGACUCCUACGGGAGGCAGCAGUCGGGGAUAUUGCACAAUCAGCGAAAGCUGGAUGCAGCGACGCCGCGUGGGCGAUGAAGGCCUUCGGGUUGUAAAGCCCUUUUCUGGGGGAAGAGACAAGGACGGUACCCCAGGAAUAAGUCCCGGCUAACUACGUGCCAGCAGCCGCGGUAAAACGUAGGGGACGAGCGUUAUCCGGACUUACUGGGCGUAAAGAGCGUUGAGGCGGUUUCGUAAGUUGGGCGUGAAAGCCCCGAGCUUAACUCGGGGAGGUCGUUCAAUACUGCGAGACUUGAGGACAGCAGAGGGAGGUGGAAUUCCCGGUCUAGCGGUGAAAUGCGUAGAUAUCGGGAGGAACACCAGUGGCGAAGGCGGCCUCCUGGGCUGUUCCUGACGCUGAAGGCGAAAGCUAGGGGAGCAAACGGGAUUAGACACCCCGGUAGUCCUAGCCGUAAACGAUGGAUGCUAGGUGUAGGGGGUAUAGAUUCCCUCUGUGCCGAAGCUAACGCGUUAAGCAUCCCGCCUGGGGACUACGGCCGCAAGGCUAAAACUCAAACGAAUUGACGGGCCCCCGCACAAGCAGCGGAGCGUGUGGUUUAAUUCGAUGCUACACGAAGAACCUUACCUGGGUUUGACAUGCAAGUAGUAGUGAAGCGAAAGCGGAACGACCCUUCGGGGAGCUUGCACAGGUGCUGCAUGGCUGUCGUCAGCUCGUGCCGUGAGGUGUCGGGUUAAGUCCCGUAACGAGCGCAACCCUUACCCUUAGUUACAAGCGUCUAAGGGGACUGCCCGGGACAACUGGGAGGAAGGUGGGGAUGACGCCAAGUCAGCAUGGCCUUUAUAUCCAGGGCUACACACACGCUACAAUGGCCGGUACAAUGGGUCGCCAAGCCGUGAGGCGGAGCCAAUCCUUCAAAGCCGGUCCAAGUUCGGAUUGCAGGCUGCAACUCGCCUGCAUGAAGCUGGAGUUGCUAGUAACCGCGCGUCAGCAAUAGUGCGGUGAAUACGUUCCCGGGGGUUGUACACACCGCCCGUCACGUCAUGGAAGUCGGCAACACCUGAAGCCAGUGAGCUAACCCGAAAGGGGGGCAGCUGUCGAAGGUGGGGCUGGUAACUGGGACGAAGUCGUAACAAGGUAGCUGUAGCGGAAGCUGCGGCUG
rnacentral:rRNA from 1 species